GUGGCCGCCGCCGCCUUUCGGACUGCUAAGAACCUCGCCAGAGCGCCGUGUGUUUCCCCAGACUCGAGCCCGCUUUCCUAAAAUCUGCAGAAUGGCUGAUAAUUUGGACGAAUUUAUUGAAGAACGAAAAGCCAAAUUGGCCAAAGACAAAGCAGAAUUGGAAAGUGAUCCACCUUACUUGGAAAUGAAGGGAAAGGCAUCAGAGAAACUUUCUGAAAACAGUAAAAUAUUAAUCUCUAUGGCCAAGGAGAACAUACCACCAAACAGUCAACAGACCAUGGGUUCCCUAGGAAUUGAUUAUGGAUUAAGUUUACCACUUGGAGAAGACUAUGAACGGAAGAAACAUAAACUAAAAGAGGAAUUGCGGCAAGAUUACAGACGCUAUCUUACUCAGGGCAUUACACAAGCAAAAAGAAAGAAAAAUUUUCUAACCACGGGUGAAACAGAUCCAUCUACUCUGGGAGUUUCUCUUCCUAUUGGUGAGAGGUUAUCUGCCAAGGAAAGGUUGAAACUUGAACGCAACAAAGAAUACAAUCAGUUUCUCAGGGGUAAGGAAGAAUCCAGUGAAAAAUUCAGACAGGUAGAAAAGAAUACUGAGCCCAAGAGUCAAAGAAAUAAAAAACCUUUAAGUCAAAUUAAGCCUGAUUUAUCUUCACAAAUACAAACGUCUUGUGAAAAUUCGGAGGGUCCUAGGAAAGGUGUCUUAACUCCUUCAGAGGCAUAUGAAGAGCUUUUGAACCAAAGGCGACUGGAAGAGGACAGAUACCGACAACUAGAUGAUGAAAUUGAAUUAAGGAAUAGAAGAAUUGUUAAAAAAGCUAAUGAAGAAGUGGGCAUUUCCAAUACAAAACAUCAAAGGUUUGCAAGCAAGACUGGCAUUCCAGAUAGAAGAUUUCGCAGAUUUAAUGAGGAUUGUGUUUUUGAUAGACAAUGUUAUAGACCAGACCAAGAUCCUGAAGUAAGUGAAGAAAUGGACGAGAGAUUUAGAUAUGAAAGUGAUUUUGAUAGAAGACUUUUGAGAGUGUAUCCAAAUGACAGGAUGCACGGGAACAGACAAGGGAAUGUGCCUCCUAUGGAGUAUGAUGGUGAUGUGACAGAACAGUCAAACACACGAAUUUCAUCUGCUGGAAAUAAAAGCUCUCGGAACAAUGAACCAUCCAAAUCUACUAAUCAAGAGAUUUGUAGUCCUUUUGCGGGGAUGCUUUUUGGAGGUGAAGAUCGAGAAGUUAUUCAGAGAAAGAAAGAGAAAUAUAGACAAGAACUAUUGGAACAAAUGGCUGAGCAACAGAAGAACAAGAGACGAGAAAAAGAUUUAGAACUCAGGGUUGCAGCUUCUGGAGCACAAGACCCUGAGAAAUCGCCUGAUAGACUAAAGCAGUUUAGUGUGACACCAAGACACUUUGAAGAGAUAAUACCACCUGAGAGACCCAGAGUAGCUUUCCAGACACCUCUCCCUCCUUUAUCUGCCCCAUCUGCCCCACCCAUGCCAUCCAUUCACUCCGUGCCUUCUCGAAAUGAAGAUUUGCACAAUGGAUUCAACAGUACGCUUGGUGAAAUGGUGCCUCCCAGGAUUGGACCUUUGCCUCCACCUCCCCUACUACCACCUUUGGCUACUAACUAUCGAACUCCUUAUGAUGAUGCAUACUAUUUUUAUGGGGCCAGGAAUACUUUGGAUCCCAGUCUUACUUAUUAUGGUUCAGGAAUGAUGGGAGUACAGCCUACAGCUUAUGUUAGUGCUCCUGUCAUCCACCAACCAGCACAACCUAUUGUGAAUACGAUUGGACACAAUGAACUGAAAUUUACAAGUGAUCAUGCAAUAAAUUCAGGAUUGGUUUUUGAAGAUAAACCAAAACCUUCCAAACAGUCACUUCAGUCUUACCAAGAGGCUUUGCAGCAGCAGAUUCGGGAAAGAGAAGAAAGAAGGAAGAAAGAACGUGAAGAAAAAGAAGAAUAUGAGGCUAAAUUAGAAGCUGAAAUGAGAACUUACAACCCCUGGGGAAAAGGUGGAGGAGGUGCUCCUCUCAGGGAUGCAAAAGGAAAUCUGAUAACUGAUUUGAAUAGGAUGCACAGACAAAACAUAGAUGCCUACCAUAACCCAGAUGCAAGAACAUAUGAAGAUAAAAGGGCUGUUGUAUCUCUAGACCAAAAUUUAGCCACUUCAAAUGCUGAGAACCUAGAAGAUUCUGCAAAUAAAAACUCAGGUCACAUGCAAACACAGAGCUCUCCUUUUGCUCGGGGAAAUAUAUUUGGUGAGCCUCCAACUGAACUUCAGAUUAAACAGCAAGAAUUAUACAAGAAUUUUCUUCGUUUCCAGAUUGAGGAAAAGAAACAAAGAGAGGAAGCAGAGCGAGAGAGACUGAGAAUUGCAGAAGAAAGAGAAGAGAGGCGGCUUGCAGAACAGCGGGCACGCAUUCAGCAAGAAUAUGAAGAGGAACAGGAAAAGAAGAGAGAGAAAGAGGAGGAGCAAAGGCUAAAAAAUGAAGAGCUUAUUCGGUUAGCUGAAGAAAGGAGAAAAGAAGCAGAAAAAAAGAAGAAAGAAGAAGAAGAAAAACGUAACCUGCAACUUCAGCACUACUAUGAAAGAGAAAAUAUGAUUGGGGAAGACACAAAGCACUUCAGACAGCCUUCUCCUGUAGUUCCUGCUCUUCAGAACAAAAUUGCAAGCAAAUUCCAAAGACCUCCUUCGGUUGACAGCAUCAUAAGUUCCUUUAUUCAUGAAAGUUCCAUGUCCAGGCCACAGUCUCCUCCGGUACCUGCCAGGAAAAAUCAGCUCCGUGCAGAAGAGGAGAAAAAAAAUGUAAUUAUGGAAUUAUCAGAAAUGAGAAAACAACUUCGUAGUGAAGAGAGGCGUCUACAAGGGCGAUUGCUACACAUGGACAGUGAUGAUGAAACUCAUAGAAGGAAAAGAGAAAGGAAUCCCAUGGAUAUAUUUGACAUGGCUAGACAUCGGUUGCAAGCUCCUGUCAGAAGACAGUCACCUAAGGGCUUAGGUGCUAUCACUUUUCAGAAUAUUCAUGAUUUUAAUGAGCUAAAAGAUAGAGAUUCAGAAACACGAGUUGAUCUGAAAUUUAGAUACCCAGAUCCUCCAAGAGAUCAUCACACCUUAGAGAUUCAGCAACAGGCUCUACUAAGAGAGCAGCAGAAGAGGCUGAAUAGAAUAAAAAUGCAGGAAGGUGCCGAAGUUGACUUAGAUGCCAUCCCAAGCGCUAAAGUACGAAAGCAAAGAAUGCCCACAGAUGACACUAAUGAUUUCUUGAAAAAUUCAUUAUUGGAAUCUGAUAGUGCUUUUAUUGGUGCUUACGGUGAGACAUAUCCUGCCAUUGAAGAUGAUGUCCUCCCUCCGCCGUCACAGCUACCCUCUGCCAGGGAGCGUAGGAGAAACAAAUUGAAAGGACUGGACUUUGAUAACUGUUAUCCUAAUAUACCACCAGAUGGUCUCUCUUUAAAAUCUGUGUCCAGUGUAAAUAUUGACCAGGUUAGAAUGAGAAAUGAGGAACGAAUGCGUAGACUGAAUGAACUUCAGAACAAACCUAUCAAUACAGAUGACGACGAGAGUUCACUGGUUGACCCUGAUGACAUCAUGAAACAUGCAGGGGACGAUGGAUCAAACUCUGUGGCAACUGAGCCCUGGCUGCGCCCUGGGACCUCAGAAACACUGAAGCGCUUCAUGGCAGAGCAGCUGACCCAGGAGCAGCCACAGGUUCCUAGAAAACCAGGCACGUUCACGUGGCAGGGCCUGUCCACCGCACAUGGUUAAAAUAAAUCUGUUUUGGACCCAGUAGUGCCUCUUCAGGUUUCUAGAGGUUGAAGAGAGGAGAGGUAAAAAACCCAGGGGUCAAGGACAGAGACUGGAAUCUUUGUUCCACCACCAUGGACCCUUGGAUAAGGUCACCAGGCCCGGAGGCUCAGCUGUCUGCCUGCUCCUGCCACGGCCCCCUUUCUGCUCUGCACCGCACAGCCACCUGGUCAAAGGCAGAGAUCAGUCAAGAGUCUUACUUCAAAAGCCUCUGCUGGACCUCCUCCCAGGCACUAACCCGGCUCUCGUCCAUGUACAUCCGGAAGAGAAUGCGCAGCCCACAGGCCAGGCUGCUGGUCUCCUGCUUCAGAAGGUUGGGCUUAGACUUGCCUUUGAAGCCUGCGAAGGGGGAAGUUUCGGGGAUUAGCUUGGGAAGGCACCGCACAUACAGGCAAAGCAGCCUGUCCGGAGGCAUGUUCUGUAUGCGCCCGGCUGUCGGCACCUGCUGCCCACGAAGUGGAGCUGCCCUGAGCCCCAGCCGCCGGCACCCGGGGCACAUGAAGGCGAUUCCUAUGUCUAGAGUCCCAUCCCGGCCUACCCUUCAAGCUGAAGACAUAAAACAACUUGUGGCCUGGAGAGUGGAACCCUUCAAGUGAAACUGCACUUGAAGCCUCACAGGUGACGCUGCAGGAGGCACAGCCUGGGGCUCCCGGAGGAACAGGCAGGGGGGCGACACCUAGUGGAUAAGACUGGUAGGUGCGUGCGGAAACAAGACGCAUCGGUCACCUCAGCAGGAAUAGUCCCAGUCAAGUGGUGGCGACAACUUGUGUUGAAGAACAGGAAAAAAAAAAUAAGUAGACACUACUCUUGCAGAAGUUAGGUUGUAAAGGGAAGAGAAUGAACAAAGCUGUUUUAAUAAAAUAAGCAAACACAAGCAUCUAACCCUGCAUUUGAUAGAGUUUGGUGUUCAAUAAGCGUCAGUUCCUUUCUUCUUUUCUUCGGCCACAUUCUGCUGCCCCUCACUCUCCCAGCACUGUUUUGUACCUA